UACGUAGGGGGCAAGCGUUGUCCGGAAUUAUUGGGCGUAAAGAGCGUGUAGGCGGCUCGGUAAGUCCGCUCUGAAAGUCCAGGGCUCAACCCUGGGAUGCGGGUGGAUACUGCCGGGCUCGAGUCCGGAAGAGGCGAGUGGAAUUCCCGGUGUAGCGGUGAAAUGCGCAGAUAUCGGGAGGAACACCGGUGGCGAAGGCGCUCAUCUGGCCCAAUACUGACGCUGAGGCGCGAAAGCUAGGGUAGCGAACGGG
rnacentral:rRNA from 1 species